rnacentral:rRNA from 1 species
AGUUGGUGGGGACGUCACAGGGGGCCGCGCGUCGGCGGUCAAAAACCGGCGUGCGGUCCCUGGGGCCCAGAUCGUUUACCGUGAAAAAAUUAGAGUGUUCAAAGCAGGCAGACAUCAACCAUCUGCCACCGAAUACAUUAGCAUGGGAUAAUGGAAUAGGACCCUGUCCUCCUAUUUUCAGUUGGUUUUCGAGGACCAGGGUAAUGAUUAAUAGGGAUAGUUGGGGGCAUUAAUAUUUAAUUGUCAGAGGUGAAAUUCUUGGAUUUAUGAAAGAUUAACUUCUGCGAAAGCAUCUGCCAAGGAUGUUUUCAUUAAUCAAGAACGAAAGUUAGGGGAUCGAAGACGAUCAGAUACCG